rnacentral:misc_RNA from 1 species
UGAUUAUUACCGGUGAUACUAAUUUCAAAAACUUCCUAAUGCGUCAUUUUUAUAGAUCACAAAUAACAAGUUUAAGUGGUAGUAUUUUUUAUAAUGAAAGUGCUUGCUAAAAAUGAAAAUAAAGAAGGCAUACUUUUCUAAAAUCUUGUACCUAGAACAAAAGGUACACACCUAUGCACAUAAAGUGCUAGGGUUUAAUGAGCCUUUGAGCCUCAGGGACUAUGCAUCUACCUUAAUUUUUUUAUUAAGAUCCAUUUAUUAUGACAUUAAAACUCAUAUCUUGCUGCCACUACUAUUAAUAUCAUGAGACUUAUUACUUUGUUGCCAUAUAUCAUGCAUUAUUCACUACUUUUAUCUAGACUAUUUAUCCUCUCUAUUACUCUCUAAAUACACUCUUGCUUUGCCUUGGUCAUUACUCUAAUUAACACCCUAUUACCCAGAAUUACUACUAAUGAACUGAAUGCCAAAUUGUGAAGCAGAGAAAGUCCCAGCAAAUAGGUU